CCUACGGGCGGCAGCAGUGGGGAAUAUUGCACAAUGGGCGCAAGCCUGAUGCAGCCAUGCCGCGUGUGUGAAGGAGGCCUUCGGGUUGUAAAGCACUUUCAGCGGGGAGGAAGGCGGUGAGGUUAAUAACCUCAUCGAUUGACGUUACCCGCAGAAGAAGCACCGGCUAACUCCGUGCCAGCAGCCGCGGUAAUACGGAGGGUGCAAGCGUUAAUCGGAAUUACUGGGCGUAAAGCGCACGCAGGCGGUCUGUCAAGUCGGAUGUGAAAUCCCCGGGCUCAACCUGGGAACUGCAUUCGAAACUGGCAGGCUAGAGUCUUGUAGAGGGGGGUAGAAUUCCAGGUGUAGCGGUGAAAUGCGUAGAGAUCUGGAGGAAUACCGGUGGCGAAGGCGGCCCCUUGGACAAAGACUGACGCUCAGGUGCGAAAGCGUGGGGAGCAAACAGGAUUAGAUACCCGUGUAGUC
rnacentral:rRNA from 1 species